UUUUCAUAUCACAAUUUCAGUUUGUUCCCUUGUAAUCAUUACUGGGACAAUUUACAGCGGCUAGAAUUAUAUAUGCACAGAAAUGGAAGAGUAAUGAACUGCCUUCAAAAGAAGAUUGGCUGAUAAAAAUUUUGGAAUAUGUGGAGAUGGCAAAACUUACAACACUAAUAAGAGACCAACAUUUGGAAUGCUUCAAAGAAGAUUGGAAACCAUUCUUGUUGUAUCUAAAGAACUAUUUUCCUACUAUGGACUUUACAGCAGGGUUCGAAAUUUAGUAAAAAAACUGCAGGUUGGGUAGAUUAGCUGUGUUUGUAAGGGUUUAAAUUUAUGUUUUGAACUAUUGUUAUAGCAAGGGUAAACUUUAUAGCUGAUGAUUCACGAAGAGAUGUGUGCGGGAAGUCCAAUUUUGUCUAUUUGUAAUCAAUGACAAUAUUAUUAUUGUUAAAAUUAAUAAAAAUUGAAUUUGGAAAAAAAA